rnacentral:lncRNA from 1 species
CUGACUACCCCUCUACUCCAGAGCCCACCUUUUCUGCUCUGGAAGCUUUCAGAAGCUGUCCUCAAUCAGGUCCAGACGAGGAAGGUCACUCUCUGAAUGACUCAGUUGACAGGGCUUGAUGUAGCCCAAGAUGGCUCCGACUUGCUGGAUAGGCCAGGAUAGCCUGAACUCUCUUUCUCCCUGGCUCUAACCUCAGAGUGCUGGUUUGUAGGUGUGAACGGCCGUGUCGUUUUUCUUUGACUUUAUACCUUAAACUCAUGACUCAAUGACAAGAAGAGCUUCCGGAGCCUCGGGCAGGCAGUCGCAGCACCUGGUCCACCCAGUCCUUUUUCUAAGACUCUGAGAAGGUGCAGGGCCAGGAGGGCCUGCGUGUGGGAUGACCUCUGCUGGCACACGUCUUCCGACACUUGGUUCCCGGCUAUUGGUGCUGAGGUUUGAGAGGCUGGGGAAAUUUGGGUGUGGAGCCUCACUGGUAAGCUAGGUCGCUAGAGGUGAAUUCUGCUCUGUUUCUCCACCGUGUGGACUGAAAACUCAGGGGCUGUGAGAUGAAAUAAACCCUUCUUCCUGUAAGUGG